rnacentral:rRNA from 1 species
ACAAGCCCCGCAAGGGGUGGAGGAGCGGCAAACGGGGUAGUAAGGCAUCGGAACGUACCCUCCAGACGGGGAUAGCGGCGGGAAACUGCCGGUAAUACCCGAUGAUCUCUAGCGAGCAAAGGUCCGCCGCUGGAGGAGCGGCCGAUGUGGUAUCAGGUAGUUGGCGGGGUAAUGGCCCACCAAGCCUUAGACGCCUAGGGGGCGUGAGAGCGCGACCCCCACCACUGGGACUGAGAUACUGCCCAGACACCUACGGGUGGCUGCAGUCGAGAAUCUUCGGCAAUGGGCGCAAGCCUGACCGAGCGACGCCGCGUGCGGGAUGAAGGCCCUUGGGUUGUAAACCGCUGUCAGGGGGGAUCAAGGCGAAAGCUUGAGAGAGCCCCAGAGGAAGCACGGGCUAAGUUCGUGCCAGCAGCCGCGGUAAUACGAACUGUGCGAACGUUAUUCGGAAUCACUGGGCUUACAGGGUGCGUAGGCGGCCUUUCAAGUCAGGUGUGAAAUCCCCCAGCUCAACUGGGGAACUGCGC